AGAGUUUGAUCCUGGCUCAGGAUGAACGCUGGCGGCGUGCCUAAUACAUGCAAGUCGAGCGAACGGACGAGAAGCUUGCUUCUCUGAUGUUAGCGGCGGACGGGUGAGUAACACGUGGAUAACCUACCUAUAAGACUGGGAUAACUUCGGGAAACCGGAGCUAAUACCGGAUAAUAUUUUGAACCGCAUGGUUCAAAAGUGAAAGACGGUCUUGCUGUCACUUAUAGAUGGAUCCGCGCUGCAUUAGCUAGUUGGUAAGGUAACGGCUUACCAAGGCAACGAUGCAUAGCCGACCUGAGAGGGUGAUCGGCCACACUGGAACUGAGACACGGUCCAGACUCCUACGGGAGGCAGCAGUAGGGAAUCUUCCGCAAUGGGCGAAAGCCUGACGGAGCAACGCCGCGUGAGUGAUGAAGGUCUUCGGAUCGUAAAACUCUGUUAUUAGGGAAGAACAUAUGUGUAAGUAACUGUGCACAUCUUGACGGUACCUAAUCAGAAAGCCACGGCUAACUACGUGCCAGCAGCCGCGGUAAUACGUAGGUGGCAAGCGUUAUCCGGAAUUAUUGGGCGUAAAGCGCGCGUAGGCGGUUUUUUAAGUCUGAUGUGAAAGCCCACGGCUCAACCGUGGAGGGUCAUUGGAAACUGGAAAACUUGAGUGCAGAAGAGGAAAGUGGAAUUCCAUGUGUAGCGGUGAAAUGCGCAGAGAUAUGGAGGAACACCAGUGGCGAAGGCGACUUUCUGGUCUGUAACUGACGCUGAUGUGCGAAAGCGUGGGGAUCAAACAGGAUUAGAUACCCUGGUAGUCCACGCCGUAAACGAUGAGUGCUAAGUGUUAGGGGGUUUCCGCCCCUUAGUGCUGCAGCUAACGCAUUAAGCACUCCGCCUGGGGAGUACGACCGCAAGGUUGAAACUCAAAGGAAUUGACGGGGACCCGCACAAGCGGUGGAGCAUGUGGUUUAAUUCGAAGCAACGCGAAGAACCUUACCAAAUCUUGACAUCCUUUGACAACUCUAGAGAUAGAGCUUUCCCCUUCGGGGGACAAAGUGACAGGUGGUGCAUGGUUGUCGUCAGCUCGUGUCGUGAGAUGUUGGGUUAAGUCCCGCAACGAGCGCAACCCUUAAGCUUAGUUGCCAUCAUUAAGUUGGGCACUCUAAGUUGACUGCCGGUGACAAACCGGAGGAAGGUGGGGAUGACGUCAAAUCAUCAUGCCCCUUAUGAUUUGGGCUACACACGUGCUACAAUGGACAAUACAAAGGGCAGCGAAACCG
rnacentral:rRNA from 4 species